rnacentral:rRNA from 1 species
GACGAACGCUGGCGGCGUGCUUAACACAUGCAAGUCGAACGCUGAAGCUUGGUGCUUGCACUGUGUGGAUUAGUGGCGAACGGGUGAGUAAUACGUGAGUAACCUGCCCUUGACUCUGGGAUAAGCUUGGGAAACUGGGUCUAAUACUGGAUAUGACAUGCCACUGCAUGGUUGUGUGUGGAAAGGGUUUUACUGGUUUUGGAUGGGCUCACGGCCUAUCAGCUUGUUGGUGUGGUAAUGGCCUACCAAGGCGACGACGGGUAGCCGGCCUGAGAGGGUGACCGGCCACAAUGGGACUGAGACACGGCCCAGACUCCUACGGGAGGCAGCAGUGGGGAAUAUUGCACAAUGGGCGGAAGCCUGAUGCAGCGACGCCGCGUGAGGGAUGACGGCCUUCGGGUUGUAAACCUCUUUCAGCACGGAAGAAGCGAGAGUGACGGUACGUGCAGAAGAAGCGCCGGCUAACUACGUG